CCCUAUUAUAAAUAAUGUGAAUAAUAGUCUUAGGUAGUAAAUGUUAUAACCAGGAAACUUAAAGAAUUUGGCGGUAUUUAUUCUUAUCAGAGGAAUAUGUUUUUGAAUUGAUUUUCCCCAUUAAUCUUACUCUAAUUUUUACAUUUUGUAUACCUCCGUCUAAAAAUUUUUUUAAAAUAUAUUUUAGUUUUCUAUAAAGAAAUAAGUCAGGUCAAGGUGCAGGUUAUAUUUGAGUUAAAAUGUAUUACAAUAAAUCUAUUUUUGGAAUUAAAAUUAAAAUUUUAAUUAAAAUUGGAUUUGAAAGUAAAUUUAUUUUUAUUAUAACAAAUUGAAUGAAGUAAAUAAAUAUGCACACAUCGCCC
rnacentral:rRNA from 1 species